rnacentral:piRNA from 1 species
UGAAGGAAUACAGAAACUCCAGGAUAUUUGC